rnacentral:lncRNA from 1 species
ACCAUACUGAGGAACUGUUCUACUGAACAAGUGUAGUCAGAGUAGGUUUUACUUGUUCUUAAUGCUCAUUGAAUGAUUUGGUGGUGUGACACCAAACUGAGGAACUGUUCUACUGAACAAGUGUUUUCAGAGUAGGUUUUACUUGUUCUUAAUGCUCAUUGAAUGAUUUGGUGGUGUGACACCAUACUGAGGAACUGUUCUACUGAACAAGUGUUGUCAGAGUAGGUUUUACUUGUUCUUAAUACUCAUUGGAUGAUUUGAUGGUGUGACAACAAACUGAGUAACUGUUCUACUUAAGUGCAAAAUCGAGCGCAACAGUUAUCUAUUACGAUACUAUAUUCGUUGCAUUUCAAGUAAGGGUUUUGAAAAAAAAACUUUACCAAAGGCGAUAUGUAAACGUGUAACACACAAAAACAACCAUGCAAAAAUGUCAAUUUCAGCAUGUUCAGUGAAUGUCAUGUUCAGUUCAAAAUUUUUGAAGCGUAGGACAACUCAUACACUUUUGUUUUAAAUCGGAC